rnacentral:rRNA from 1 species
AAAUAAUAUAAUUUAAUUUAUUUAGUAUUAAUUAAUUAGUAAUAAAUAAUUUUAAAUUAAAAUUUAUUAGGUGAAAUUUUUAAAUUUUAAAUAAAAUUUGUUAUUUUUAAUGAAGUUAAAAAAUUUAGGUUUAAACUAGGAUUAGAUACCCUAUUAUUAUAAAUGUAUUUAUAUUACUAAAUUAGUAUUAGUUAUGUUCUUGAAAAUUAAAAAAUUUGGCGGUAUUUUAGUCUAUUCAGAGGAACCUGUCCUUUAAUUGAUAAUCCACGAUUUAAUUUACUUUUUUUAUUAGUUUGUAUAUCGUCGUAAUUUGAAUAUUUUAUAAGAAUUUUAAUAUUCAAAAUUUUUUAUAAGAAAAAAAAUCAGAUCAAGGUGCAGUUUAUAAAAAAGUAGUGAUGGGUUACAAUAAAUUUAUUUAAGGAUUAUUAUUUUUAAUAUAAUAUGAAUUUGGAUUUGAGGGUAAAUUUAAUUAAUUAAUUAAAUUGAUUAAGCUCUAAAAU